UGGACCACAUGUGGGAAGGGAUCUCCACCAUGGAAAAGUGUUAGUAACUACUUGUCCAUCUGCCACAACAUGCUCUCCAGGGCCAUCCACUCUAUGAUAUCCACAAUGACCCUGUUGGUUGACCUCUUUUUUUUUAAGGAUGUAGAGAUGAAGGCUCAGAAAACACAACGAUCCUACACAAGGAUAAUAGCAGUCUAGUCCAAGAGAAGCAGCUGGAACUACGCAGUAAAAGUAUUUGAAGCAGGAAAAGGAUCGACAAGCCAGGAACUCAAGGGAACAGCUGUCAGGUGGAAGAGGCAUCUGCCAUGAACAUUGUUUGUCCAGAAAAGG